AUGUUCAUGUUUCCUACAGUAAAAGUUCCUGGUGAUACCACAAAGAGUCUCGUGUGUUCAUUCAGGAGCGGCUGUGGUGAGCUGACACUAAGCCAAGAAUACGGACACCAUCCCGCUGUAGCGGUGAGGUGUAACAUGCAAGUGGAGGAUGAAGAGCUCUUGGGCGCCGGAGGAGGAAGGUCGGAAAGGGCCACUCCCGAGACGGACGCUGAGUUCCACCAGCUGGCGGCCCUGGCGUCAUCCACCGCUUAUGCCCAGCCAAAUGGGGUAACCCAGAGGCGCGGAGUGGUGCGGGGAGAUAGCACCGGAGGAGAGGAAGGUUCACCUUCCCCAGGCCCGCAAAAGAUGGUGUUUCUGGAGGAGAGGAUGUCGGCGAUGGAGACCACCCUGGCAGUGAUGUCGAGGGCGAUGGAGCGCCUGGCGGUUUUGGCGGAGCCGGAGCGAGGAAGGGAACUCCGGGCUAGCUCAAUGUGGGACGUGAGCAUGGGAAGCAGCCAGGGCUUUGCAGACCUCCCAGCACCGAAGGGAAGGGAAAUGCGAAAGGAGCCCGGUGCCCGGCCCAAGAUCCAAACGAGCCUGACGCGGGUGGAGGAGAGUGACGACGAAGGGGAAAAGCCUCCGAGAAUCCCGGCUACGCUCCCAACUGAGACCCUGGUGCCCCUGGCGAAUGCCGGGCGUGGCACAGGACAAAGGGAAGCAGCAGCGGGGCCCACUGGCCCGCAAGGGGGCUUGCGACGGGCGGAGGAUUGGGGAUUGCCACCACAGGGACCCCUACCGAGACGAGAGGAACUAAGGAUCGAGUUUGGGGGAGAGUCCUCUGAACUGGAUUUUUUCCUGACCACGGUGAGGGGCUAUAUGGAGGACAAUGCCCACACUUUUAGAACGGAAUCCAGCCGGGUACGGGCCAUUGGUGCAGUGUUGAAGAGGGGAGCGGCCAGCUGGUACGUUCAACUACACGCGCGGCGCGACCCAUGUCUGGGGUCACUCCGACGCUUUAUGGGGGCCCUGGAGACCCGUUUCCGAGAUCCACUGGAGCAGAUCCGGGCGAGGGAGGAGUUGAAGACCGUCUCCAGGGGCAGAGGUCGGUAUCUGAGUAUGCGGAGGAGUCCA
rnacentral:lncRNA from 1 species